GAUGAACGCUGACAGAAUGCUUAACACAUCAGCAAUUGAUUGGUGCCGGACGGGUGAGUAACGCGUAAAGAACUUGCCUCACAGCUAGGGACAACAUUUGGAAACGAAUGCUAAUACCUAAUACUGUGAGAGAGCUUUGCGUCCAAUUAGCUAGUUGGAGAGGUAACGGCUCACCGAGGCGAUGAUGGGUAGCCGGCCUGGGAGGGUGAUCGGCCACAGAGGGCCUGGGACACGGGCAGUACUCCUUCGGGGGGCAGCAGUGAGGAAUAGUGGAAGAUAGACCAAAGUCUGAUCAAGCCAUUCUGUGUGCAAAAUGAAGUUUUCGGAAUGUAAAGGGCUUUCAGUUGGGGAGCGGUACCAACAGAAUAAGUGACGGCUAAAUACGUGCCAGCAGCCGCGGUAAUAC
rnacentral:rRNA from 1 species